ensembl:snRNA U2 U2 spliceosomal RNA
AUCGCUUCUUGGCCUUUUGGCUAAGAUCAAGUGUAGUGGAUGUCUGUAUGAUCAUCCCUUAAUUUUAAAAUUAUGUUUACUCUAACUACCACUA